GGGAGGGGAGGGGGGGCGGGAGGAGGAGGGGCAGCCCCACGCGGGCAGCCAAUCCGGGCCUGCGCUGCCGCCCCGUGCGGGUUUGAAAACUCCAUCCGAGGGGCAGGGCAUACAGAGGUCCUGCGGGCCCAGGGCGCUCGGGGGAAGCGGUCAAGGAGGGCCGGGGACCCUGGCGGAGACCCAGGAGCCACCGCAGGGGGCCGGCUUCCCCAUCUGCUCCGAUCCCUGGUGAAAAUGCUUCCCGUUCCUUUAGGAAUAUGUAUUGAUUGGGCUCUUAGUGUAUACCGUGCGCACACGUACGCGCUCCCGUCACCCCCACCAUCACCCCGCUUUGCAAACGGGGAAGAGGGAGAAGUUACUUGCUCGCGGUCGGGAGGAACAGGGAGUCGAACCAAGGUUAGGGUCCAGAGGCUGAGCCCUUACCCACAAUGCUGCAGGAGGCCUGGAGCCCAAAAAAAACAAAUCGCUAAAAUGUUAAGCCCCCUGUAGAAGCUCACUGCCCACUGGCGAGAAGGAGGCUAGCAGCCCAGGGGAGACCCCGAUCAAGUUCAGGGACAACCCCCUCCCCUGGUGGCCUUUCCACGCCCAGCUGUGGCUGCCUCGGCCAGGGGUCCACCCCCCCACGGCUCCCCGGCAUUGCUGCUGGGUGAUCUGCCCGUUUGGCGCUCCGUGCCUCAGUUCCUCGCUCUGCGAAAUGGAACAUUUAACCCCACCUCCUCUGGCACUGGGGAGGCCCGUACUGGAGUCCCCAAAGUACCGAGCACACAGUAGGCGCUCUGCGAAGUGUGCGGCCGCAGACUGUUCACCUGCCCCCUUAGGUCCUACUAAGCUGACUCUUUGACAUCUUCUCUCCCCCAGAGCCCGGACUCUGGGAGGCACACAGUAGGUGCUUUAAGAGGUGGGCCAUCUGGCACCCCAGCAUCACGUGGGGCAUCCAGGAGGCGCUCUGUGUCAACACGGGUGUGGAGUCCCCCCAGUUCAGCAGGGCACACAGUGGGCCCUCAGGAAAUGCAACCGGGAGCACAGUAGGUGCUCUGUCCAGGCACAGGGCUCAUGCAGACCUCGGUUUGAAUCCAGGGACUCCCCACGCGAUCUCCAGUAAGAACCCGUACCUCGGGCCUCGGUUUCCCCAUCUGUAACAUAAGCCAGCUGUCAGGACGCCCAAGGCUGUGUGACCCGGGGCAAACAUGCCGGAGGACCCGCCACCCUCCUCCCCAACUGGCCCUGCCCCGCCUGGGCCUCCUGCCCACGUCCCCCCGGAGAUGACCUCUUGCCUCCCUGCGAUGGUGGUGACCGCAGCAGGCUGGGAACACAGCCACCCCCCUGGUCAGGGUGGGGGGAUCUGGGGCAGGAGUGAGGCCUGUAUCUGGCCUCUCCCAGCGGAGGGGCCCAUAUCUGCACGGUGCCCUAUUCGCCCCUCAUCGUGGCUCUGAUCACCCCCUCUGUUAACUGCCUGGUACGGGUCCACCUCUCCGGCCAGACUGGGGCCUCAGAGGGCAGCGCUGGGGCUGCCUCUGCCUUGAUCAGAGCACAUGCCCAGCACGGGGCCUGAUGGCACACAGUAGGUGCUCAGCAAACAUUUGCGUAAACAGUCAGGACCCUCCUGGCCCAGGAGAGGCCUCUCCAACCUUACUCUCCCCCCCAGAGGCCGCACUCUAUGGUGUCUUCGUGAUGGAUCCGUUUUCCCCCACGUUCUUUUUUGACACAAACAUUUCUGAACACCAGGCCCAGGUGAGGCCCUGGGGACACGGCAGUGGCGAAGACUGACAAAGAUCCCUGCCCUUAAGGAGCCGACACUCCAGGGCAGGCAACAGAUGGGAAACAGAAGAGGUAACAACCACUGUGGGUCAGCUGGUGGCGCGUGCAGCAGAAAAUUAGGGAAAAUCAGCAUAAAGAAGAAAAUAAGACUGGCUCACAACCCACCCCUCGCCCGGAGAGACACCGCCAGCACGUGGUCGUGUUCAUUCAUUCUGUCCACAAACCAGUUAUUGGGCCCCUACUGUGUGCUGGGCUGAAGACCCCCCGGGCAGAGCCAGCUCCCCCGCCCCCCACCCCCCCACCCCCAGGGGGCAGGGACGGGACACCCACAGAGCCACGAACAUUGUCCAUAACAUCAUGCCGGGCGGUUACGCAAGAGGCCAAAAAGGGAACAGGAUUCACCGCGUGGCCCUGAAAGCCGGGGGAGGUCUGCAGGGGCCUCUGGGGCGGGCCGGGAUGAAGUAAGCCAAUCAGACAUACAAACACCUAUGGGAACGGAGUUUCCGGCAGGAGGAACAGCAAGUGCAAAGGUCCUGAGGUUGAUUGCCUCCUUCCAGUCUCCUCCGGGUGCAAAUGGGCACUCUUCCUUUCCGAGCGGGGAUCAGUAUUACGUGGCCAGUUGCCCCCAGAGUUGAAUUGGUCCCCGCUUGAUCUCCAUUAGAAGCGACGUUGAGAGACAGGGACCUCCACAGAUGAGGCUGCGCCUCGUCAUUUCCCGCAGAUAACUUCCCCCGGCAAGGGACGACUCCGCCGGGAGACCCUCAAAGCCUUUGAAAUGCGUCCUGAUAGGGCUGUGGGCAAAACUGCACCCUGGGCACGUGUGGGCAGGACCCCCAGCCCUCCCCUGCCCCGCCCCAACCGUCCCACGUUCCUCACAUUUGCGGCCAAGGUCCCUGAAAGUUUCAUCGAGGGGCAGUCACCAAACUCCACGUCCUUCGCCUCCUGAGAAGAGACACUGGUUGGGCAGCUUUCUCUGUUCUCCUCUCCACCAGCUUGCCCCACGGCCCCUCCCACCCAGCAUGGCACUCAUGACCCGGGGCCCUGAGUGUGGACAGGCCAGAAGCCCACCUCGCCCACGCUCACAUCAGGCUCCUGGUGCCGUGUCUGCCUGCCGGCCACACGGCAGGGGGACUGCCCACCACAGGCGCGCCCUGGCUCCCCGGCUGCCUUUCUCACCUGCUGGUUCCCCCGGGCCCCCCGCUUUCCUUUCCCUUUGGACAGAUCCAGCACGCUCGCCUUCAGGUGUGGCUGGAUCCAGCAACUCUGCUCCCUUUCUCAGCCGACGGCAGCCCCAUCCUUUCAAGUUUCCCUCCUAAAUGUCUUGGGACUUCGUCCAUCUUUCUCCAUGCAGCCUUCCCGCCCUGCCUGGCUGGACCGGUGCGGUCACCCGGAUCCCCCAGCUCCCACCCUCAUUGCCCGAAGCAGCUACCACAGGGCGCCCGUGAGCACCUGAGUCAGGUCCGGCCCUCCUGGGUGCACCAGCCCUCUGGCUGCUCCUCCAACCCACCGGGCCCAGCCCUGCCCCAGGGCCUUUGCACAUGUUGUCUAUGCCACCUGGAACAUCUUCCCCGGACUUUCACGGCCGUUUCUUCCUCACCGUUCGGGUCUCCCUCAAACGUCACCUCCUCAGAGACGCCCUGACUAAUCGCUGCAGCUGAGGCAGCCACCCUGUCACCGUUAUCAUACACCCUUCUAAAUUUUUGUUUGUUUGUUUCUUCUUUCCACAACUUAUUUUCAUCCGAAAGAAUCACCUGUUUACUAUCGAGA